rnacentral:rRNA from 1 species
GACGAACGCUGGCGGCGCGCUUAACACAUGCAAGUCGAGCGAAGCGGCGGACGGGUGAGUAACACGUGAGUAACCUGCCUUAGACCUUGGGAUAGCCUCGGGAAACCGGGAUUAAUACCAAAUGGUCUAAGAUGGACUCGCGUCCCAUUAGCUGGUUGGGCGGUAACGGCCCACCAAGGCGACGCUGGGUAGCCGGCCUGAGAGGGUGAGCGGCCACAUUGGAACUGAGAAACGGUCCAAACUCUACGGGAGGCAGCAGUGGGGAAUAUUGCACAAUGGAGGGAACUCUGAUGCAGCGACGCCGCGUGAACGAAGAAGGCUGUCGAGUCGUAAAGUUCUUUUAUAUGGGAAGCGGUACCAUAAGAAAAAGCCCCGGCUAACUACGUGCCAGCAGCCGCGGUAAUAC